CACUCAUCUCUCUCUAACCGGCCCCAGCAGAUCCAAAUCUCUCUACUUUAAUCUUAAUAUACUCACAGAUACCAUUUUUGUUAUAUUUUAUGUUAUACAGAAAAUAUAAUAUUCUCUAAAGCUUCAUGGAUAUCAAAGUAUUCUCUUUCUUAUAGUAACUUAUAAGCCCUUUUGAUAAAAACCCAUUUGGAUUCUUUCAUGCUUGUUUGUGCCAUUUGGUCUCUGCUUCUGAUUCUCCUCGGGUUUCGAGCUCCUCACAAGCUAUUUACUGCUCAAUAAAACAACCAUUUUGUGGGUCAUUGCUGUAUUUUUGCCUGGAUUCUCUUCAUAUGACUAAGAUGAUGCCAGAAUUUAAAUCAGAGAUGCAGUUUUCAAGCUACCUUCCUGUUUGCAGCACCACCAAAGAUCUUCCUGCGUGUGGAAGCAGGAGACUGCUACUUAAUAAUGAUCAGGUAAAAACUUUUGGACAUAGCCGAACAUGGCAUCAUAAUGAUCAGGUACAGAUAGCUGGAUAUGGCUACAAUAAUCUCUGUCCAUCUUCUAACGCAAGCCAGCUUCAAGAUCACCUGAAGGAAAUAGUAAGGAAGACUAUGCUAGAACAUGAAGCCACAUUUAAAAAUCAGGUCAGUGAACUGCAUCGUGUAUAUGGAAGACAGCAGGAGCUAAUGGAUGAAACGAGAAUGAAAGGACUCACUGGAAAUAAUAUAGAAGGGAAAAUAUCAAAGACUAAUCCGAUCAUGUUUGGAGGUCUAUCUGAAUCGAAUCAGACGUUCCAAGUUGCCAACUUUAGUUUGGUGGAUCCAAGCUGUCAUUGGCCUGCAAGAACCAUUAACGUUGAAGGCUUGAAGCUAAUUAUCCUUCAGAAGGGAAUUCAUCUCGAACUAACUGUAUACCAACUAUAACAGAUCUGGCUGACUGGAACAAGACGUUCCUGCUCAACCAAAAAGGGCCUCUAUAUUCCUCAAGUUUCUUUCCCUUGGGUACGAGCAUCAUGGCAGAACCGCAUUUGGAGCAGUCCUACGCCCAAAUGCCAAACAUGGUCUUCCAAGUUCAAACAAAGGAACAUGAUCAUAUACAGAUAGGAAAGGAUCUUGAAAUUCACUCAAAGGAUUUGCAUCUGAAGAAACUCUCUGGGCAGCGCGAGCACACGAACCAUCUUAUGUCUUCCACCAAACCCUUUGACACACAUGCAUCAUCGAGUAAGAAUGCAACAUUAUCAAUUGAUAACAAUUGCCUAAAUAACAGUAUUUGUCUGAGAGAAAAGUUGGCAUCUAAUCCAAGAUAUCAGAUUGACUUGAAUUCCUACCCAAAUGAAGAUGAAUCAUCACAGGUGGAAGUGGAGAUAAGAAAUGCAGCAAAUAUUAAUUUGGAGCCACCUGUGAGUCCGCAGAACAAGGAGACUUCACCUCCUAGAGGUAAAUCAGUGGAAAAGCAGCCUAGUGAGUCUGAAAAGGAUGACAAAUAUCAAAAAGAUCUUGCCCUGCUGGCAGCAGAAGCCCUGGUUCUAAUUUCAUCAAACUCUGACCAAUGCUUAAAGUGGUUCGCAGAAAUUGUUACUUCUGCAGAAAAUCAUCUCGAAGAAAAUGAAACAGUUCAAUGUCAUGUAGCUGUUAGUAAACACAGUGAGCUCGUAGAUGAUGGGCUCAAUAACUUUGCAGCCUUAACACCGCUCAUGGAAGAGACAAAGUUGGGAGAAUAUAACAGUACCGGAAACAGGAAACGAAAAGCUCUAACCACAUUAUCAAGUCCGAGAAGGAGGGAGAAAACUAGGCAGAUAAUGUCACAGAAAGCAAUGCAAGGAGAUAUUCUACCUCGCAUGACCUCCCUAUCGAGGCAAGAGGUGUCAGAGGAGACUCGUACUAUCAGUUGGUUGAGGAAAAACGAAAGUAAAGCGAGGCUGGGAAAGAGAAAAUCAAGCAAAAAUGAGCGGCAAAAGGGAAAGAAGCGCAAUAGUGAACCCACUUUGUUGCAGCAAACUGCUGAUGCUAAACUGGAUUCUCUGAAAAGGUGCCUUCCAGAUUGGGGAAGGAGAAACAAACGGCAAACUGGACAUAGACGCCCCGCUUCUGAUCAUGCUCUUAGGUUGGCUGUACUUAGAUUUAAGGGUCCGUUAUUGGAGAGUUCUUUUAUUUAAUGUUAGACUUCAGGACCAGGUCCAUGCUAGCGGGGACCAUAAAAAUAAUUUGCGGGAUCUGUGUUUAUGCUUGGUUUACAUAUAUACCCCAUCCAAACGAUGAUGAGCUCUUUGCUGAAUAUCUUGUGGAUGCAUCGCUGGAAUUAGGUUUUAAUAGGAAGUUAUCUUUCUUGACAAGCUUAAAGAUGUUACGGACGUUAUAAGUGAUAAGUACGUUAGGAAUGGGGUUCUGUACUGGACUGUUUCAGCACAGAGGAUGCAUAAAAAUGUGGAAGCAUGCCAUGAAUUGUGUGUUCCAUAAAAUAAGAAGCUUUGUCUUGUUAACGGUCCGAGUGGGAAGGCAGCCUUGCAGAUGCUUCAUGCAGCUCUAUUCUAUAGAGAUGGUUUCUGAUCUUUAGAGCAAGAAAAUCAUGCCAAACAAGUUCGCCCAGUGACCAUGACCGGGAGUAGAAGAAAUUUGUGAGAAUUUGCGACUAUUUUACAAUGUUGUAAAAUCCUUUUCUGGAAUGUCUGAUAGAUUUUAUGCUUAAUCGGAAAGAUUUGAGUUCAAAAAGCUAAUUUCUAACUAAAUUUGAUAGACAUU